CUUUUGCCUUUUAAAAGGCCUUCAAAAGGAAAGCCAAACACUUUGAAAAGUCCUUUUUCCUUUCAAAAGUCCUUUUUUUCUCAAAAAAAGGAACCCCAAACAUGCCCCUAAAUCGAUGGCCGCACAACCUGCCAAAGGACGGCAGUGUCGGACAGUGUUUCCUCAUAUCUCUGUCACCCUCUACCGCUAUAAAUGAUGGCUUAGCCAGAGAACAGUUUCGGUAGGUUGUGGUUUUCUGAAUCUUUCUCAUUGCGUAAUAUUUUGGUAUUUUGAUUGUUUUGAUAGAUUAACAUAUCAUCACUGCAUAUGAUUUUGUUAUAUGUUACCAGAAUUUGAUUUAUCUCGAUAGACACUUUCUAUUAAAUGUCGCAUAAGUAAAUUGUUUACUUAAUUGUUUGAGUUUUGUUGACUGUUUGAUUGAUUAUAGUUCUUACCGUUGCUCGAUUGAACUCUCAUGUUUCUGAGAUCUCAACGAAUUGUUGAUUACUCUGAUAGAUUAACAGAUCAUCUAGAGAUCAUCCUAAUCAACAAAAGUCCCAUGCUUCUGUUUCUGAUAUACAUUUGUUUGCUGAUCUUGAUGCCAACAGUAACCCACAAUCCAGUUUGUCUAUAAGGUACAAUUUUUUUUAUUAAAUAGAAUAUUUUUGUUUAUUGUAGUAGAUUAUAUUAUUUGAUUAGGUUGCCUAUCUGUUUGCUGAUCUUCAUGCCAACAGUAACCCACAAUCCAGUUUCUCUAUAAGGUACAAUUUUUUUAUUAAAUAGAAUAUUUUUUUUAUUGUAGUAGAUUAUAUUAUUUGAUUAGGUUGCCUUUGUAGUUAUAUACUAUAUUCAUUGUAUUAUUAUUGUAUCGUUGUAUGUGUAGAUGAUGAAUAACACCCAAUACCUUACGGGUUUUUUUAUUAAGAAAAAAUCAUAGCAUUUUAGUCAAAUUUUGUAGGAUAAAAAUGUUGAAAUGUAAGCUUAUUAUAAGCAAGUUUGAAUCUUUUGUGUUAUAGAGACUAUGUAUUCGAUUCACGUAGCAAGAACAUCGCUCAUAAUUGGCCAUUUUUGCACAAAAGCUUGACACUUUAUUUGGAAAUAUGAAUAUAGAACACAACUCUGUUUCUCUGUUAUGUUUUGUAGAAGAGCUGUAUGUGGGACCUGUAGGUCGGCAUUCUUGCGAAUUGAUUGAGUACCUUGAGGCCAUCGAUGGUGUAAGUAAGAUUAAAGACGGAUGCAACCCUGCAACAUGGAUGUUGGAAGUCAGCACUACAGCACAAGAACUCGCACUUGGAGUUGACUUCACUGAAAUCUACAAAAACGCUGAACUUUUCAAGAGAAAUAAAGCCAUGAUUGCUGAAUUAAGCGUACCACGCCCCGGAACCAAAGAUCUGUUCUACCCAACUCAAUACUCACAGUUUCCUCGUUCAGUGUGUAGCGUGUCUCUAGAAACAACAGUGGUCGUACUGGCGUAACCCGCCAUACACUGUCAUACGUUUCGUGUUCACCACCUUCAUUGCAGUUGUGUUUGGUACCAUGUUUUGGGAUCUCGGCGGCAAAAAGAGUACACAACAAGAUUUGACAAACGUGAUGGGUUCAAUGUAUGAAGCGUGUCUCUUCUUAGGAAUCCAGAACGCGUCAGUGGUUCAACCCGUUGUAGAUGUUGAAUGAACUAUCUUCUACAGAGAAAGAGCCGCCGGAAUGUAUUCUGCUUUGUCGUAUGCUUUUGCUCAGGUUUUGGUCGAAAUGCUUGGUAACCCGUUGUAGAUGUUGAACGAACUGUCUUCUACAGAGAAAGAGCUACCAGAAUCUAUUCUGCUUUGUCGUAUGCUUUCGCUCAGGUUUUGGUCGAAAUGCUUGGUAACCCGUUGUAGAUGUUGAACGAACUGUCUUCUACAGAGAAAGAGCUACCAGAAUCUAUUCUGCUUUGUCGUAUGCUUUCGCUCAGGUUUUGGUCGAAAUGCUUGGUAAUGGGUCAUUUGGUAAUCGUUUUAAAGAAGCCAUCGGAUGGGCAUGGGAGCCUCUCACAAUGCUACUACCUUAAUUUCUUUUCUUAUAUUAUCAUGAAAUAUUAAUUUGAUAUAUUUUUUCUGGUAGAUGUGUAGGUUUAUAAGCCACCUACUGGAUGAAUAUAUGCUAUGAUGAGAAACGGGCCCUUCCUGCUGAUGUGAAGCUAGAGAUAUAUUGCUCUAAUAUUUGCCACCUGCACGUGUGUUGCCUUUUGGUUGUAAAAGGAAAAUGAUGAUGGGACUUGGUAAUGCUGGGAAUAAUAUGGUUGGGCUUCAAGCGUCAAGAAUAAUAAAACACUAGGUCUGUCGCUGUGGCUAUGUUUCUUGCUUUGGAAGCGACCUGACGCGUGUUCGAGACUCCACUCUCACAUCCUUUGGUUAGUUUCCAUAUCAUUAUAUCUUUCUUUCUCUUUUAUCCAUUACUCAUUGUCCAUAUAAUUCAGUAUAGUUUACUUUUUUAAUGGGGGAUUUUGGUUGCAUUGUAAAAAUUAAUACAUCUACUUAGAAUAACUAAUAAGAAUUAUAUAAAUAAUAGGCUGGUUCGUCUAACAUUGCGAGCCUUAUGGAACCCGAUAAGUCAAACCCGUGUUUGAGAUCAAUUAUCAAACAAGCUUAUUUUUAGGCUCAAGCUUGGUUUGAGCCUGGUUUUAGACCAUUUAGCUAGGUUCUCAUUUGAUCGUUGGAUUUCAUCUUCUAAUCUUAUUGUCUUUGAUGUGCGUUUAAUGCUUUUGGUGAUUAGUUAUAGCCCACUUUGUUCAAAAAAAAUAAAAUUUAUUGACUUCUUUGAACAUUGCUUCUAUUUUUUUUUUUUUUUAUAAAUUAGGAUCUCAUCUAUUCUUCAUUACUGGCAUUAACUUGAUUAUUUGUUUCAGAUACCUUAAUAUACCUUUCAAUACCCUUGUCAGGUAUGGUUGCUAUUUCUUUUUCAUUUAAUAUUUGGAGGAAAAAGCAUAACAAAUUUUGAUGCUGAUGGACAACCUUUUACAUGAUUUUGUGCACAAGGAAAACACCAAGUGAACAUAAAUCAUGUUGAAAACUUACAUUCUUGUUUGUCAAUUCAAUAAUUUGUUAUUUAUUGAUGAUUUAGUACUUAUUUUUAUUUCCUUUAUUUCAUGUGAAUAUCAUUUAUCUGCUGGUCUUGGAACUAAUAUAGUUGUUGCGGAGCGCUGGGCGCUGGACGUGUAGCUGGGCUGAAGUAUUUGGGUUGUGAUCAGAUCUUCUUGUGGGCUGGUAACAUAUACGGUUGGUCUUCUGGUGGGCUUCUUGCUGAGGUAAGUGCAUAUAAGUCCCUUAUUUACAUUCGAUUGUAUGUGUCUUGUGUCUGCAGAGGUUCAUUAUGAACUUGUAGAAGACUUUCUGGUCAAGCUUGUGUUGUAUAAAAACCAUUUGAAGAGUUUUUGUUAUGUUUUCAUCAAGCAUCUACAACAAUUACCAAUGGCCAUGUAAAGUUGGAAAGUAGAAGCGCAUGUGUGGGAUGGUUCAAAGCCUGAUGGAACUCCGAGGAAGCUCGGUUGGGAGCCGAAGAUUUCUCAUCGCGAUGGCGUUGUUGGCACUUAUGAAUGGUAUGUUACACAUUUGAAGCAACAAUGACCUGCACCGAUCUUUCGACUGUCUCAUUGCUAUUUAUGUUUAAAGGUUAUCUCGUUGAUUAUAUAAUAUGUAAAACAAUGGAAUUGCGCAAGUUUUUGACGAAAUAUUCAACUCUGUUUUUGAUC